rnacentral:rRNA from 1 species
UACGGGGGGAGCAAGCGUUGUUCGGAUUUACUGGGCGUAAAGGGCGCGUAGGCGGUCAGCACAAGUCAGUUGUGAAAUCUCCGGGCUUAACUCGGAAAGGUCAACUGAUACUGUGCGACUAGAGUGCGGAAGGGGCAACUGGAAUUCUCGGUGUAGCGGUGAAAUGCGUAGAUAUCGAGAGGAACACCUGCGGCGAAGGCGGGUUGCUGGGCUGAUACUGACGCUGAGGCGCGAAAGCUAGGGGAGCGAACGGG